AUGAAGAACCUGUUCAUCCUCGCUCUCCUCGCCUUCACGGCGACAAGCGCUGUUGCGCAGCUGUACACUACCUGUAGCCAGGGCUACGGGCAAUGCCAGCAGCAGCCGCAGCCGCAGCCGCAACCGCAGCCACAGCCGCAGAUGAACACAUGCGCUGCUUUCCUGCAGCAGUGCAGCCAGACAGCAUAUGUCCAGUCACAGAUGUGGCAGGCAAGCGGUUGCCAGUUGAUGCGGCAACAGUGCUGCCAGCCGCUGGCCCAGAUCUCGGAGCAGGCUCGGUGCCAGGCGGUCUGUAGCGUGGCACAGAUCAUCAUGCGGCAGCAGCAAGGGCAACGUUUCGGCCAGCCUCAGCAGCAGCAAGGGCAAAGUUUCGGGCAGCCUCAGCAGCAGGUUCCGGUUGAGAUAAUGGGGAUGGUGCUUCAGACCCUUCCGUCGAUGUGCAGCGUAAACAUCCCACAAUAUUGCACCACCACCCCGUGCAGCACCAUCGCCCCCGCCAUCUACAGCAUCCCCAUGACAGCUACCUGUGCUGGUGGUGCCUGCUAA
rnacentral:rRNA from 1 species